rnacentral:rRNA from 1 species
CGGAGCGCCUAUGAAGGAGAUUUCGGUCAACGGAAUAGGUUGCUUAGUGGCGGACGGGUGAGUAACGCGUGAGGAACCUGCCUUUCAGAGGGGGACAACAGUUGGAAACGACUGCUAAUACCGCAUAACACAUAGGUGUCGCAUGGCAUUUAUGUCAAAGAUUUAUCGCUGAAAGAUGGCCUCGCGUCUGAUUAGCUAGUUGGUGAGGUAACGGCUCACCAAGGCGACGAUCAGUAGCUGGACUGAGAGGUUGGCCGGCCACAUUGGGACUGAGAUACGGCCCAGACUCCUACGGGAGGCAGCAGUGGGGAAUAUUGGGCAAUGGGCGCAAGCCUGACCCAGCAACGCCGCGUGAAGGAAGAAGGCUUUCGGGUUGUAAACUUCUUUUGACAGGGAAGAGUAGAAGACGGUACCUGUCGAAUAAGCCACGGCUAACUACGUGCCAGCAGCCGCGGUAAUACGUAGGUGGCAAGCGUUGUCCGGAUUUACUGGGUGUAAAGGGCGU